rnacentral:rRNA from 1 species
UACGGGGGGGGGCAAGCGUUGUUCGGAAUUACUGGGCGUAAAGGGCUCGUAGGCGGCCAACUAAGUCAUACGUGAAAUCCCUCGGCUUAACCGGGGAACUGCGUCUGAUACUGGAUGGCUUGAGUUCGGGAGAGGGAUGCGGAAUUCCUGGUGUAGCGGUGAAAUGCGCAGAUAUCAGGAGGAACACCAAUUGCGAAGGCAGCUCGCUGGGACGUUACUGACGCUGAGACGCGAAAGCGUGGGGAGCAAACAGG